rnacentral:rRNA from 1 species
AUUGAACGCUGGCGGCAGGCUUAACACAUGCAAGUCGAGCGGAGAUGAGGUGCUUGCACCUUAUCUUAGCGGCGGACGGGUGAGUAAUGCUUAGGAAUCUGCCUAUUAGUGGGGGACAACAUUCCGAAAGGAGUGCUAAUACCGCAUACGUCCUACGGGAGAAAGCAGGGGAUCCUCGGACCUUGCGCUAAUAGAUGAGCCUAAGUCGGAUUAGCUAGUUGGUGGGGUAAAGGCCUACCAAGGCGACGAUCUGUAGCGGGUCUGAGAGGAUGAUCCGCCACACUGGGACUGAGACACGGCCCAGACUCCUACGGGAGGCAGCAGUGGGGAAUAUUGGACAAUGGGGGGAACCCUGAUCCAGCCAUGCCGCGUGUGUGAAGAAGGCCUUAUGGUUGUAAAGCACUUUAAGCGAGGAGGAGGCUACUGAGACUAAUACUCUUGGAUAGUGGACGUUACUCGCAGAAUAAGCACCGGCUAACUCUGUGCCAGCCGCCGCCGUAAAAC